rnacentral:rRNA from 1 species
CUGGCUCAGAUUGAACGCUGGCGGCAGGCCUAACACAUGCAAGUCGAGCGGCAGCACGGGUACUUGUACCUGGUGGCGAGCGGCGGACGGGUGAGUAAUGCCUAGGAAUCUGCCUGGUAGUGGGGGAUAACGCUCGGAAACGGACGCUAAUACCGCAUACGUCCUACGGGAGAAAGCAGGGGACCUUCGGGCCUUGCGCUAUCAGAUGAGCCUAGGUCGGAUUAGCUAGUUGGUGAGGUAAUGGCUCACCAAGGCGACGAUCCGUAACUGGUGUGAGAGGAUGAUCAGUCACACUGGAAGUGAGACACGGUCCAGACUCCUACGGGAGGCAGCAGUGGGGAAUAUUGGACAAUGGGCGAAAGCCUGAUCCAGCCAUGCCGCGUGUCGAAGAAGGUCUUCGGAUUGUAAAGCACUUUAAGUUGGGAGUAAGGGCAUUUACCUAAUACGUAAGUGUUUGAC